CAGAAAGACAGAAACAGGGUAAUUAAGUAAUUAAACAUGAAAUAAUGUUUCUAAUUCAGUUAAAUAAGUAAACAGUAUGAAACAAUUCCCAUAUAAUAUUUAAUGAUAUCUGGUCCCUGGCUAUGAACACACUCCAGGAGUGUCUCAGGGAAUACAGAAUACCUUUCCAUUUCAUGCCUACACAGUUGAACAUGCGUGAAACACAGUUUGACCUUUGAAACCGAAAACAUAAAAUCUAAGCUGGUAUUUUAAACAAUAAAACCUGGCCUUUAGGAGAUUCCCUAGUGCCCUUAUAAGACAAUAGGGUCAAGCAUCCAAUGAUAAACAUAUGAUAUAACAAAAACACUGACUGAAUGACUUAAAACAGUGGUCCCCAACCACGGUCCCCCUAACUGUACACAUUUUCAUUGUAGCCCUAGCCAAGCACAGCUGACUCAUCUUGUCAACUAAUUAUCAGGCUUUCAUUGAGUUGAAUUGGGUGUGCUUGUCCAGGGCUACAACAAAAAUGUGUGCUGUUGAGGGUACUUGAGGACUGGAAUUAGAAACCACAGACUUAAAACAUUACAAUCAUUCAGAACCCAAGAUAGGGAAAAUGAAUGGCAUGGUUUUCUAGAGGGCCGUUGAUGUGACUGUUUUGCAUGCGUUUUCAGGAGAAAAUGUUUUAACGCUAAAUAAAGCAAUGCUAUUUUGCAUCAUCUACCCUGUACACUUUUCCUAUUAAUGUAUCAUAAAUAUAACAGUUUUCACAUUUAUACAGAACAAAACUCUAUACUCUCCUGUAAAAAAAAAACAUAGAAAUUCCAGAAUACCAGUAUAUAUAUAUAUAUAUAUAUAUAUAUAUAUAUAUAUAUAUAUAUAUAUAUAUAUAUAUAUAUAUAUAUAUACUUUUUUUUUUUAAGUAUAGUGCAAAGAUAUGGUCAACCACGCCCCGGAUGGAAAGUGGUCAUAAAUGGAGAGAUACAAGGUAUGAAGCGACGCUGGCUGAUGCUUUGAGAUUGUAUCAUUUGGCUUCAUGCAUUCAUAUUUCUUGUUAAGGAGGCCCAUGACAUUUACGGCAGGAAGAGGGCUUUCCAAGGGUUUGAGGGCAUGGCAGUACUAGUGGAGCUGAGCCUGGGGCCAGGACUGGGACUGGGCCCCUGGGAAUUGAUACGACGUACUGGAGCCAGAAGCCUCUGCCCUGACACUCAGACACACACACACACACACACACACACACACAGGAAUGCAUGCAUGCACACAAACAAGCAUGCGCAUAAAACACACAAAAAGGAAUGCACGCAGGCACCCAUGUAAAUGGAUGUGCACGCACACACACAACCUCUUCCUGCCAACAGCAGCGGGUUCCUCUGGAUGGGGAGAAUUCGGCAGUCAUUCUAGACAAGAAAAAUAAGACAGCUAAACUACAGAGGGGUUACACACACACUCAUUAACACACAGCCUGGCGUUUGGCACACACACACACCUUCACACUAUCACAUGCAACAUCUCCCUCAGGGAAUAAAUGAAGGGUAAUCCUGAAGCCUCCUUUUAGCUCCCUCUUUGGAUAGAAAAUGGGGUGUGUCACAGAUGAGUUACACUUGUGGUAUGCUGGUAUUCCAUAGAUUAUAACGAAGCACAGAAGAUCCACCAUGGUUACACCGCCACUCAUUCGGCUGGUGUUUCAAUAGGGGAACAACCAUGUGACCCCUACAGAGAGUGCACUGACAGGGCAGAGGUCAGGAGUACUUUUAUAUUGGCAGUGGAGCACAGCAGAUAUACCUAACCACACAGCUGACCACAGCACUUCUGCUACCUCUUCUAGGACAAAAGGUCUUCUUCAAAGUUAUGUUCGAGCUACUUUCACUUCUAUCAAAAAAUUUCCUCUGCGUGGAGACUUGACAUUAUGUCAGAAUAUACUUUUCUUGCUUUAGUAAACUCUUUGCAGUGUAUCACAGUUGGUGACCAUACCUUUUCAUGACCACAGUCAAUCCACGUUGUCACAGCAACAGUAUCUAAAAACAGUUUAGUAAUGUCUCAUGUCUUGCCUUUCCAUCAGAGAAAAAGAUCACAAAUAUAAACUUGGGAAUUAGAAAUGGCAGAGAUUAUUAAGGCAGAAUUGGCAAUGGAUCAAAGUGGUUAACAUUUGAGUCUAUCCAUAAAACAGUGCUAUAAAAGCUUUAUCACGGGAUCCAUUAAUACAUUCACACCCAAAUAAAAGUCAACACCCUUGAGAAACGUGAUUUAACUGUUUCUCUGUGUGCACAUGUGAAGUGAAACCAGUCACAAGGACAGCAAUACAGCACACCACAAACCAUCAGCUAAAGGUCUUGAUCCUGUAGUACAGGGUGUUGUCUAGCCAUCAGCUAAAGGUCUUGAUCCUGUAGUACAGGGUGUUGUCCAGCCAUCAGCUAAAGGUCUUGAUCCUGUAGUACAGGGUGUUGUCCAGCCAUCAGCUAAAGGUCUUGAUCCUGUAGUAUAGGGUGUUGUCUAGCCAUCAGCUAAAGGUCUUGAUCCUGUAGUACAGGGUGUUGUCUAGCCAUCAGCUAAAGGUCUUGAUCCUGUAGUAUAGGGUGUUGUCUAGCCAUCAGCUAAAGAUCUUGAUCCUGUAGUAUAGGGUGUUGUCUAGCCAUCAGCUAAAGGUCUUGAUCCUGUAGUACAGGGUGUUGUCCAGCCAUCAGCUAAAGGUCUUGAUCCUGUAGUAUAGGGUGUUGUCUAGCCAUCAGCUAAAGGUCUUGAUCCUGUAGUACAGGGUGUUGUCUAGCCAUCAGCUAAAGGUCUUAACCCAUGGGUUCAGAGCCACUGUAGGUAUAAGCACAGUCAUUAAGGGCCCCUAUACGAACAUUAUAUGUUAAGUUGAGUCACAAUCACUGAUGACACUCAACUAAACCAUCUCUGCUAAUUCACUUUUGAUUAAAAAGACAAUCUAAAUAUUUACAAAAGUUGUCCUCUUUCUAAACAAUACAUCAUGUCAAAAUUCCUCUCAGAUGUUUGAGUGUUGGCUGUUACAUUUAUAAAUGAAAUGCUGCACCUCCACAUGUUUUCCCAGUAGCUCAAGGUUAAAAAAUGGAACUCGUUAAGUAACCCAGAAAACAAGCUGGAUUGUGGGUCAGUUACAGUCUGAGCAACUGGGCAUCUUUAAAACACACAGGAAUUAGCCUUUUAAUUGAAUUUGAAUUAAAUUGAGUAUAAUAGUGAAGUAUAAAUUGUAUUCAAAUGUCAGUAUAUUUUACUGUACACAUCAGCAAAAUAAUAAUUCUGAUACAUGAAAAUGAUUACAGUGUUCAUAUUUAUGAUAAUCACAAUGUUAGUCUAAUGCUAAUCUGCCUUGCCACAACCUAACUGCCCAAAAUAUUUAUAGCUGAACAGUUUCUCCAAUAAAAACAUAUCUUGCUUGUCUAUAGGUUCUAUUAGUAGUUGCCUACAACAGCAUCCAAACCGAUUAUCUUGUAGUACCAGUUUCAGAACCUUGGCGCAAUAGCUUAAAAUGUGGCUAUUGGGUAGAAUACAUAAUUAAAUGAAAAUAAUCCGUUCUAGACCCUGUAUCCUUCACUAAAGUGAAUACAUUUCAGUGAAACGUGCUCAUCUUCGCCUUAUCCUUUAGGGCUGGCCCAAAACAGUUGCUAGGGAGACAACAUGAGAAUGUUCAAACAUGUCUUCCUUCAUUAUUAUAAAUGACGGAUAUAAGAAUAUAAGGACUUAAACUAAGUUGCCUUCGAU
ensembl:lncRNA